rnacentral:rRNA from 1 species
UACGUAUGGUGCAAGCGUUAUCCGGAUUUAUUGGGUUUAAAGGGUGCGUAGGCGGACGCUUAAGUCAGCGGUAAAAUUGCGGGGCUCAACCUCGUCGAGCCGUUGAAACUGGGUGCCUUGAGUGGGCGAGAAGUACGCGGAAUGCGUGGUGUAGCGGUGAAAUGCAUAGAUGUCACGCAGAACUCCGAUUGCGAAGGCAGCGUACCGGCGCCCAACUGACGCUGAAGCACGAAGGCGUGGGUAUCGAACAGG